rnacentral:rRNA from 1 species
UACGUAGGGGGCAAGCGUUGUCCGGAAUUAUUGGGCGUAAAGAGCGUGUAGGCGGUCCGGUAAGUCAGCUGUGAAAGUCAAGGGCUCAACCCUUGAAAGCCGGUUGAUACUGUCGGGCUAGAGUCCGGAAGAGGCGAGUGGAAUUCCCGGUGUAGCGGUGAAAUGCGCAGAUAUCGGGAGGAACACCGAUGGCGAAGGCAGCCCCCUGGGCUGACACUGACGCUCAGGCACGAAAGCGUGGGGAGCAAACAGG